AGAGUUUGAUCCUGGCUCAGGAUGAACGCUAGCGGCAGGCUUAACACAUGCAAGUCGAGGGGUAUAGGUUUUCGGAUCUAGAGACCGGCGCACGGGUGCGUAACGCGUAUGCAAUCUACCUUUUACAGAGGGAUAGCCCAGAGAAAUUUGGAUUAAUACCUCAUAGUAUAGCUGAACCGCAUGGUUCUACUAUUAAAGUCACAACGGUAAAAGAUGAGCAUGCGUCCCAUUAGCUUGUUGGUAAGGUAACGGCUUACCAAGGCUACGAUGGGUAGGGGUCCUGAGAGGGAGAUCCCCCACACUGGUACUGAGACACGGACCAGACUCCUACGGGAGGCAGCAGUGAGGAAUAUUGGUCAAUGGACGCAAGUCUGAACCAGCCAUGCCGCGUGCAGGAUGACGGUCCUAUGGAUUGUAAACUGCUUUUGCACAGGAAGAAACAACUCUACGUGUAGAGUCUUGACGGUACUGUGAGAAUAAGGAUCGGCUAACUCCGUGCCAGCAGCCGCGGUAAUACGGAGGAUCCAAGCGUUAUCCGGAAUCAUUGGGUUUAAAGGGUCCGUAGGCGGUUUAGUAAGUCAGUGGUGAAAGCCCAUCGCUCAACGGUGGAACGGCCAUUGAUACUGCUAGACUUGAAUUAUUAGGAAGUAACUAGAAUAUGUAGUGUAGCGGUGAAAUGCUUAGAGAUUACAUGGAAUACCAAUUGCGAAGGCAGGUUACUACUAAUGGAUUGACGCUGAUGGACGAAAGCGUGGGUAGCGAACAGGAUUAGAUACCCUGGUAGUCCACGCCGUAAACGAUGGAUACUAGCUGUUGGAAGCAAUUUCAGUGGCUAAGCGAAAGUGAUAAGUAUCCCACCUGGGGAGUACGUUCGCAAGAAUGAAACUCAAAGGAAUUGACGGGGGCCCGCACAAGCGGUGGAGCAUGUGGUUUAAUUCGAUGAUACGCGAGGAACCUUACCAAGGCUUAAAUGUAGAUUGACCGGUUUGGAAACAGACUUUUCGCAAGACAAUUUACAAGGUGCUGCAUGGUUGUCGUCAGCUCGUGCCGUGAGGUGUCAGGUUAAGUCCUAUAACGAGCGCAACCCCUGUUGUUAGUUGCCAGCGAGUCAUGUCGGGAACUCUAACAAGACUGCCAGUGUAAACUGUGAGGAAGGUGGGGAUGACGUCAAAUCAUCACGGCCCUUACGCCUUGGGCUACACACGUGCUACAAUGGCCGGUACAGAGAGCAGCCACUGGGCGACCAGGAGCGAAUCUACAAAACCGGUCACAGUUCGGAUCGGAGUCUGCAACUCGACUCCGUGAAGCUGGAAUCGCUAGUAAUCGGAUAUCAGCCAUGAUCCGGUGAAUACGUUCCCGGGCCUUGUACACACCGCCCGUCAAGCCAUGGAAGCUGGGGGUGCCUGAAGUCGGUGACCGCAAGGAGCUGCCUAGGGUAAAACUGGUAACUAGGGCUAAGUCGUAACAAGGUA
rnacentral:rRNA from 1 species